rnacentral:rRNA from 1 species
CCCUUAGACGUUCUGGGCCGCACGCGCGCUACACUGACCAGUACAACAAGCAUCCGUCCUUGGCCGACAGGCCCGGGCAAUCUUUGAACGCUGGUCGUGAUGGGGAUAGACUUUUGCAAUUUUUGGUCUUCAACGAGGAAUUCCUAGUAAACGCAAGUCAUCAACUUGCAUUGAUUACGUCCCUGCCCUUUGUACACACCGCCCGUCGCACCUACCGAUUGAAUGGUCCGGUGAAGCCUCCGGAUUGGCGCGCACCUCGGUGCCGCCGAGAAGUUGGCUAAACCUUACCAUUUAGAGGAAGGUGAANUCGUAACA